GCUGAAACCAAAGAAGAGUUUCAAAAAAUGCUCGUUCAUUCUUCUCCGAACAUCAACCAUGGACGUGUAGCUCCAUUCGUCUACGUGCACCUUCGUCGCAUCCGCUCCACGCACACUCCACCGCAGACUCGAUCUUACGCCCAAACUCGGCUUCAGAUCAAGAUCAACAUCGAAGUGGAGUUUGCAAUCAAGGUUACAUGCGAAAUAGCGAUAGCCGAAGAACUUACGGGAAUACAUGGCCGCCGGUCUUGCUUGCGUGGUUGAAGAUGAAGAGUGAAGAUGCCGAUUAUCUCGUGCGCAAACGCAAGGUGAAUUGGAUCGCGAUUGGGGCUGAAGCAACCAGCAUAGUCGCAGGAGGACGAUUGAAACGCUGGUAAUGUUAGCGGCGGUGGAUUUCAGGGAUACGAUGAUGAUUGGAGGAGGGUGAAUUAUGCACUAUGUGGAUUGAGGAGAGAAUGAGAGAAACUGCACCUUCCAAUACCCCCUCGAAUGGAUCUGUAAUGAGGUUGAGUAUAAUUGGAGAUUGUCGCAGUAAUUAGAACGCUGCGGUAAGCCAUUGACGCUAGAGCCACAUAUCUGCAACUGCCCCUUGGUGUGCCGUGAAAGCUCUCUGUUUAUAUCAUCUUCCGAAGCCACUUCAAGUGCAUUCUCAAAUCAGUGACAACAUCCUGUAGCAGGCUGACCUCUUCGAUAAAAAUCCUUAAUGCUCUCUGCAUCAAAUGCCAAAACCUUCUAUCAUACUGCUUUGGAUUGAAGAGUUUGGUCAUGAAAUGUGUGGUUGGCCCUUGGUGUGCUAAUGGUUGUAAUUUGGUUGUAAUGGAAUUUAAGUCAUGGAUUUGAUUAUGUAUUGUAUAUGGAAACAAUGGUUGAAUAUUGAUUGUGUUGUAAUUGGAUUGAAAUUGUACUUAUAAAUGGAAUGUGAAAUUGGUAAUUUGAAUGAAA